GAUUUUCAUUGGAACCAAGCAAAUUCGGGCUGCGUUAGGGUCUGUAAGUCUCGUCACGUGACUCGCGAGAUUUUUCGAUAAUAUUAACUUCCAGGUACCUCACACAUGGAGAUGUGUAUUGGGUUAUGCAUGUUUAUGGUUUACACAAAGCGUAUAAGGAAAGUUUAAGCAGUUGUACAAAGCCGAAGGGUUCUCCGACUUACGAUGGAUAAAUUGAGGGUCGUAAAAGCUUGGGUGCGAGCAAGUAGGAGGAGAAUUUCGAUCGAAGUACAGAUUUUUCUUGAAUUCGAGGAUAAUAAUGUUAUUACCAGCUGAUUAAGGAGGAGUAGUGUAAGUGUCAGAUGGGUACGAACGUCAUCUUGUGACAGCAUCACCUUUGUUUGGCUAAAAUACAAGAGAACUGCAGCAUCUAAGACUACAUGUACAUCGACUUUGAAUAAUUUACCCGGUAUAUCCUCAAAAAGGCAACUUAAAUACAGAAAGUGCAUAUAAUUUGGAAAAGAGACCAUCAAUCCACUGGGGGGUAUCGCAUGAAAGCAAUGAUUAUAGAAUAUUGUAAGGCUGGAGGAGUUAUAGUACAACAGGCAGGCGAGUAAUGGUAUAUGUCUGCGCAUCUGGCAAUCUUAGGACAUCACUGGAUGGUUUUGUUUAAAAAGAUUACAGAGUUAACACGCACUUCCAGCAUGAAGACCAGCCAGUUGCCUCACCUGUCCUGACAUUGUUAAAGUACUUUGUGACAGUGAAAAGACGUGGCUUUAAAUUACUGUAUCAGAGAUCAAUCCAGGUUAUAAAUCUGAGGAAAACAAUAAAGCAUCCACUUCGAGCUACUUAUAUCACUGCCUUAAUAAGAUGUCUGCAUGUGUAACUAACAAAGGACAGUGACCAGUUGUAUAGCUAUGAUAUCAGAGGGCAUCCUGAAAAACACUCAUCACUAAGAAUAGAAAACUUCAAAUGACUUUUGUAUCAAUCCUUUGGCUUGGAAUUUCAGUAGCCUUUAGCAUCCUUCAAGCAUUUCAUGAAGUACAUUUACCAAUUUGCAGGCAUAAAAUGUUUGAAAUAAAAAAAAAUAAUUUCUCUGCCGGUUAACAGUGUCAUAAGCAGUUGAUUGAUAUCACAGUUCCACUGGCAUAGUAUUUGUGGUUGAAUGGUGCCAUUUUUAAGAAAACUUUUCACAAAAACCUGGAAAACAUCAGAUGGAAAGGAGCAUCUACAAGAAAAACAGUUAACACUUUCUUGAAUAUUAACAAUGAUAUAUCAUGCCCAUUUACAUCCUUUAUAUAAACUAAUUAACCUAAUCAUAGAGAAUUAUGUACAAAUUUGUCCUUUUGUGUAUUUAUAGUGUAUUAAAUUGAUUUUACUAAUUUAUAAAUAUUUAUGUUUUUCACAGUCAUUAACAUUUACAAAUAGAAGUACACAUAACAUAAAAAUAUUACAUGUUUAGUAGGAUAACGUGAAAUUGUUAUACCACAAAAACCAUCGCUGACCUCGCCUCGGUCAGCAAUGGUUUUUAAGGGGUAAGAAUUUUACAUCACCCAAAAUAAACAGGUAAUAUUUUUCUUGUCAUAAAAUGCAUUUUAGAAAGGAAACAUCAAGGUGAAACGAAUGUGCAAACAUUCUGCACAGUUAACAUUUUUUAUUACUGUAUAUACUGUUACCCGUAGUCAUGCAUUUUCAACCAUUGGGAUGUAAUGUUUGGCAUACAGUAUGGUAAUAGUACUUGUUAACAAAUGUUUUUUAAACCAAUCAAAUUUGACUAUUUAACAUGAAAGUGUAUCAUAACAAAUUUAUCUAGCAUAAUGGUGCUGUAAGUAACCAUGGAAUGUGAGCUUGUGUGAACUUGAUCCUGAAUUAUUAAGUUUUGAAUAUUGUAAUAAAGAAUUGUGCAGCCUAAA